rnacentral:rRNA from 1 species
CCCUUAGAUGUCCGGGGCCGCACGCGCGCUACACUGAAGGAAUCAGCGUGGCUUUCUCCCUGACCCGAAAGGGUUGGGAAACCCGUUGAAUCUCCUUCGUGAUAGGGAUUGGGGCUUGAAAUUGUUCCCCAUGAACGAGGAAUUCCCAGUAAGCGCGAGUCAUAAGCUCGCGUUGAUUACGUCCCUGCCCUUUGUACACACCGCCCGUCGCUACUACCGAUUGAACGGUUUAGUGAGGGCCUCGGAUUGGUCUCGGCCCGCUCUUUACCGGGCGGCUCCGUUGGUCGAGAAGACGCUCGAACUUGAUCGUUUAGAGGAAGUAAAAGUCGUAACA